AAAAGGACACUUUUAUUCUUUCAUUUAAAAGUUUAUGUGACAGAUUUACAGCUUUCCUUGGAAGAUAUAUUUAAAUUCUUCUGAAGAUAUUUCCUUUAAAAUUUGCGGCUUAUUUGAAGAAAAUACCAGGCACCAGGUAAGUAAACGAAGCAUUAAAGUUUCUGCCGGUUUAACGUUAUUCUUUGUAAGUUAGAUUAUAAAUGGAACACGGUACAUAGUAUCCGUGUUCCAGUCACAGAUGAUCAGGAUAUACACCGAGUGACGUCAAAACAUGUUGAACGAAUCUGUUAGAAUGAUAUGCAUAUGUAUACUGUGACGUAAGUAAAAGAUUCCUCCGGGCAAUGGAAGGAGGGGAAGAAUGUGUUUAAAGAGACUCGUCCGUCCAACGUUGACCUUCCGUCCGAAUAUCCACGUGUUCCACUCGGUGGCUAGGAAAGAAACGCGGCUUUGCGGCUGUUUUAUACGGUACAAAUAUCUGCAACUCUUCUUGAGACCGUCAUUAAAGAGACGAGAAGCGGUGUUAGAAAACGGGCAAAACGCCAGCGGUAUAUAACAUUAAACUGGGAAACAAAGAUACGAGGAUCGAAUGUAGUCAGCCAGUAAUAAUCGCUGCAUUAUUUUCAUUGGUUCACCGGAUAAAGCGCAUCCGGCCCUUGAAUACCGCGUGCGGUCAGGAAUACCAUACCGAGUAACUUUUAAAAGGAAACAUAUAGAAAAUAAUAUUUAAAUAUUCUCAACGCGAGAAUGAGACAAUCUUAUUUUCAUCCUUCUUCGUUUAUCGUUCCCUUAACCCUGCGGUUUGGCUUGGCGUCACAGCGUUUCGAUCUUCUACCUCGUAACCAUGCGGAGAUAUUGGAUUUCUCCCGGGAUUAUGGAACAAGGUGUGUUCCCCGUCGCCCCAUGGAAAAGGCUAUAGAAGGGAAAUAUUUAUAAGUCACUUACAGGGAUAAGGCUUGAAAGGUCUCAGCUUGUGAAAUCGGUCACGAUGUAAAAUUAUCAAAUCCUCGAGGCAAGAAAGAAGAAAAGGUAAUGAAGGGAAAAGUAUCAAAUUUCCGUGGUGAAGGCAAACGAUUCGUAAGACUUCAUUAAUCGAUUACGGAGAAUACCGCACAAAUGGAUUACCUUUCAGAGAUGUACGAAGCAGAGAGCUUCGUUAGACCGAAGAAUCAGUAUAAAGCUUAGAUGUUACGCAAAAGUACCUUAGUUAUUCGCCUCAUAUAAGGAACAUCAAUGAACACAGGCCUCGGUUGUUUAUCCGAUUCUUCCACCUUGGUGUAAACGUAACACGAUAUACCUAUUAACACGAUCGCACCGAUGGCAGUCACCAGUUGCAAAAGUUUCUCUUCAUAGGCCACUGUACUUGCAAAGCCACAAGUUAUAUCGUUAAGUAACGUACAUACAACGAAGCUGAUAAAGUUUUUCGCGCAUCGCUAAACAGCAAAGAUGAAAAUUCAGCUGCUAACUAAAGAGUUUAAAACUUUACCUGUAGGACAGUAAUCUUUUACGUCCGGACAAGGGAACGGCGAAUGCUCUUCGCAAUCAUCCUCAACUGGUAAUUGACAUUUUCUCGAAGAUUUUGGACAUUCUUCCGCAUCUUCGUCAAAC